rnacentral:rRNA from 1 species
CCUACGGGAGGCAGCAGUGAGGAAUAUUGGUCAAUGGUCGGGAGACUGAACCAGCCAAGCCGCGUGAGGGAUGAAGGUACAGAGUAUCGUAAACCUCUUUUGUCAGGGAACAAAGGCGGGGACGUGUCCCCGUAUGAGUGUACCUGACGAUAAAGCAUCGGCUAAAUCCGUGCCAGCAGCCGCGGUAAGACCGAGGAUGCGAGCGUUAUCCGGAUUUAUUGGGUUUAAAGUGUGCGCAGGCGGUCUGUUAAGUCAGCGGUCAAAGCCCGGGGCUCAACCCCGGCCCGCUGUGGAGACUGGCAGUCUAGAGUUGGAGAGAGGUAUGCGGAAUGCGCGGUGUAGCGGUGAAAUGCAUAGAUAUCGGGAAGAACUCCGAUUGCGAAGGCAGCAUGCCGGCUCCACACUGACGCUGAGGCACGAAAGCGUGGGUAUCGAACAGGAUUAGAUACCCGAGUAGUC